GAUGAACGCUGGCGGCGUGCCUAAUACAUGCAAGUCGAGCGAACGGACGAGAAGCUUGCUUCUCUGAUGUUAGCGGCGGACGGGUGAGUAACGCGUGGAUAACCUACCUAUAAGACUGGGAUAACUUCGGGAAACCGGAGCUAAUACCGGAUAAUAUUUUGAACCGCAUGGUUCAAAAGUGAAAGACGGUCUUGCUGUCACUUAUAGAUGGAUCCGCGCUGCAUUAGCUAGUUGGUAAGGUAACGGCUUACCAAGGCAACGAUGCAUAGCCGACCUGAGAGGGUGAUCGGCCACACUGGAACUGAGACACGGUCCAGACUCCUACGGGAGGCAGCAGUAGGGGAUCUUCCGCAAUGGGCGAAAGCCUGACGGAGCAACGCCGCGUGAGUGAUGAAGGUCUUCGGAUCGUAAAACUCUGUUAUUAGGGAAGAACAUAUGUGUAAGUAACUGUGCACAUCUUGACGGUACCUAAUCAGAAAGCCACGGCUAACUACGUG
rnacentral:rRNA from 1 species